rnacentral:rRNA from 1 species
GAUGAACGCUGGCGGCGUGCCUAAUACAUGCAAGUCGAGCGAACAGACGAGGAGCUUGCUCCUCUGAUGUUAGCGGCGGACGGGUGAGUAACACGUGGAUAACCUACCUAUAAGACUGGGAUAACUUCGGGAAACCGGAGCUAAUACCGGAUAACAUGUUGAACCGCGUGGUUCAACAGUGAAAGACGGUCUUGCUGUCACUUAUAGAUGGAUCCGCGCCGCAUUAGCUAGUUGGUAAGGUAACGGCUUACCAAGGCAACGAUGCGUAGCCGACCUGAGAGGGUGAUCGGCCACACUGGAACUGAGACACGGUCCAGACUCCUACGGGAGGCAGCAGUAGGGAAUCUUCCGCAAUGGGCGAAAGCCUGACGGAGCAACGCCGCGUGAGUGAAGAAGGUCUUCGGAUCGUAAAACUCUGUUAUUAGGGAAGAACAAAUGUGUAAGUAACUAUGCACGUCUUGACGGUACCUAAUCAGAAAGCCACGGCUAACUACGUG